rnacentral:rRNA from 1 species
CUACGGGUUGCUGCAGUGAGGAAUAUUGCACAAUGGGGGGAACCCUGAUGCAGCAACGCCGCGUGGAGGAUGACGCAUUUCGGUGUGUAAACUCCUUUUAUAUGUCAAGAAAAUGACGGUAGCAUAUGAAUAAGCACCGGCUAACUCCGUGCCAGCAGCCGCGGUAAUACGGAGGGUGCAAGCGUUACUCGGAAUCACUGGGCGUAAAGGACGCGUAGGCGGGAUAUCAAGUCAGGUGUGAAAUCCUACAGCUUAACUGUAGAACUGCACUUGAAACUGGUAACCUAGAGUAUGGGAGGGGGAGAUGGAAUUAGUGGUGUAGGGGUAAAAUCCGUAGAUAUCACUAGGAAUACCUAAAGCGAAGGCGAUCUCCUGGAACAUAACUGACGCUAAGGCGUGAAAGCGUGGGGAGCAAACAGGAUUAGAUACCCCCGUAGUC